UACGUAGGGUGCAAGCGUUGCCCGGAUUUAUUGGGCGUAAAGGGCGCGUAGGCGGCUCUGCACGUCCGUUGUGAAAUCGCCCGGCUCAACUGGGCGGGGUCAGCGGAUACGGCAGAGCUUGAGCAAGCUAGGGGGCAAUGGAAUUCCCGGUGUAGUGGUGGAAUGCGUAGAUAUCGGGAGGAACACCUGUGGUGUAGACGGCUAUCUGGACGGCGACUGACGCUGAGACACGAAAGCGUGGGUAGCAAACAGG
rnacentral:rRNA from 1 species